UGAAUCCCAUCUGUUUUGUAGGGUUUAGAGGUUGAACUCUUGACAAAGUUGAGCAACUUGAGGAUGGUAAAAAGAUCAUGAGGUUGAUUUUGCACAAAUGAAGGAGAUUGAAGAAGCAAAAUAGAAGUUGAGAGAAGAGACAUUGUAUGAGAGAAUACAAUCAGCAACGGUUAAUUCAUCAUCUGCUGAUAAGAAAUGGAGGGCUUCUAGUUAUCCAAGUCCUACUUACUCUAUGCCAGGUCCAAAUUACAAGUGGCCCAACAAUGGCCCAACAGGCGAACCCGUCCAAGUUAGUUAGGGUUUUCCUAACCCUAAAUCUCUACUGCCCAGCCGUCAGGUGCCUCGACCAUUGGAUCCAGAUAUGAUCCAACGGUCAACAAUAUGAGCCAGAUAGGGUUUUGCUUUUUUCCCUUAGAGCGCCGCAUAUCCUGGAUAAGUCAGAACCUCGCGCGGCUCUCGUAGAAUCCUCGUCCCGGUGGCAACGUGCUCCGGGUUUCUCGGCUUGUGGG